ensembl:lncRNA
UGCCGCCCCUGGUGCAGGGCCCCCAGCGUGGCCCCCCCAGGGGAUGCACAGUCAGCAGGCAGAUUUUAUGUUUCUUUUCUCUUUUUCCUGGGUAAAGCACAAGCCCAUUGUUAAUGAUGUAAUUGGUGUAUUUGACUGGUUUUCAUAUUAUCUUGUACAUUUAGUUUUUUACCUUGUAAAUUCUCUGUAGAAAAAGAAAAAAACGUAUACACGUCGCUGAAAUUUCCAAUUCCUACAAUUAACACCAGCAAGUGAUUUUCUAAGGCUAAACAGAGUGAUCCUUUUAAAAAAAAAAAAAGCAAAACCAAGUCCUCUUGUUUUUGUAAUCAGACUUUUGUCAGCUGUUCUCAUUGAGUCUAGGCAAUUGAAUACUCUAUUUGUACAUUACCCUGUGAACAGUAAAGGUUUUCCCCACGCCAAAGCAGCUGAAGGAUUAGUUGUUGUUGUUUUUUUUUUGGGUUUUUUUUCAAUGCACCACAUGGAAUGGGCUGAUGUAGACCCCUGCGGUCGCAGGCGAGCACCAUGCGUCCUGUGCCAGUCACCCACAGGUCUUCGAGACCAGUUAGCGAGCUCCGCUUGGGGGUCGGUGCUUUCAGUCCAGGUGGUGUUUUCCAGCGGUGGCUUAUUCCUCUUCAGGCUAACAGUCGGCCCGGUGGAAUCUUCUAAACACUUUUUACUUUUUUUUUUUUUUUUUCCUGGUACUAAAUAUUACAGACUGACCAACCUCAGCUGCUGCAUCAACUGAACCCCCGAUUGAGCCGCCUGUCCCUCAUCAGAGAUCACCUGGGGGAGGAGGGGUAUGCAAAACAAAUGCUGCCAUUAACUUGUAGACUCAGCGCAUGAGAUUUGGUUGCAGCCGUAUAAUCCGAACAUGAAAUGACCAGUGGGGUGGGGGUUGUGGGACUGGGAUAUGUGUUGGCAUGCUGUGACAGGUUUUAAUCCUUAAUGAUUUUUUUUUUUUUUCUCCUUUAUCAUAUUUAGUGUGACAUCUUAUCUGUCUUGUACUUUGAGAUGAACACUGCCCUAGAAACGGUAUCUUUAUGUACUGAAUAAUCAUCUCUUGCGUAGAAGUAGUUGAACGAUGUAUAGCAUCUUUAUGUAUGUGUGAGUUGUUGCUUUUGGGCUGGGGGCUCGCAGCGACGAUGGGACCCCCACCGCUUGACGGUCAGAGUAGUCAUUAAAAAAAAAAAUGUUGUGAAUUGAACUAGUUUAGUGGGAUAAGUUGGAGAAAGGGAUGUUGAAAAGACCCUGUGCCCCCUUUUUUUUUUUUUUUUUUUUUUUUUUUAUUGGCUCUUUUUUUUUUGGUUGAUAUGGAAGUGCAUUGGUGGGGGGCCGUCGGGGCCAUCAAAAGCGAUACAAUUCACCUGUAAUGCUCGUAGUGAUGGCUUCAUAUGAAUACUUGUAGAAUACAUGUAGUAUAUGUGCAGUUAUUAAGUGUAAAAUUAUUAGUUUAAAUUGAGAAGAAUAUGUCUAGUUGUGGUGUUUUGACAGGCCUUGCUCUAAAUUUGUAGUGAUGCUUUUAUUUCGUCUGUACAGUUGUACAUUUUGUAAACGUUUAUGCUGUAAAUGGGAUGUCUUUUACACUUUUUGGGGAGAAAAAGGCAAAAAUGUGCAUUUUGAUGUGUGUAUAUUCAUCACUCCUUUCCCCUUGAAUAUAAUGUAUACAGUUUUAUUUGAUUUAAGUGUUAUUUUAAAGGAAAAAAAAUCUUAAUGGCUUCACAAUCUGGCAUGUUUUUUUGUUUUUAAUCUGUAAUGGGAAAGGCCAGCCUCUAUUUCUACUGGAGCUGUAUAAUCCACUGUUGAUAGUAUUUCUGAAGUGACAGUUUAAAAAAACUCUGUACUAAAAUUGAGGCUGCAUUUAGUCCUCUCUGAUACAUGGAAAUUUCACAGGACUUGACAAGAAUUAUUUUUGUACAGAUGAGUGCUGUAUUUUGGAACAGCGUCUACCUUGUAAGCAAAAGCAAUGUAACAUAUUGUCAAUUAUAUAAAUAUAAACAUAUGAGUUUUGUCACACUGUCAAAGUCAUGUACAUUUUCAGGUGGCCUUAUGUACAUUUCCAGAUGUUAGAUUAAGAAAAUCAAACUCAUUUUUGGAAGCAGAAUUGUGACUAUGAUUAAACUGUUCUUCUAACAUUUGACCAGCC